rnacentral:rRNA from 1 species
CCUGCUAGGCCAGCUUGGCGUUGGUUGUCCAAGUUUAAGGUGGUAGGCUGGAAUCUUAGGUAAAUCCGGGAUUCUAAGGCCGAGAGCUGAUGACGAGUUACCCUUUGGGUGACGAAGUGGUUGAUGCCAUGCUUCCAAGAAAAGCUUCUAAGCUUCAGGUAACCAGGAACCGUACCCCAAACCGACACAGGUGGUUGGGUAGAGAAUACCAAGGCGCUUGAGAGAACUCGGGUGAAGGAACUAGGCAAAAUGGCACCGUAACUUCGGGAGAAGGUGCGCCGGUGAGGGUGAAGCAUUUACUGCGUAAGCCCACGCCGGUCGAAGAUACCAGGCCGCUGCGACUGUUUAUUAAAAACACAGCACUCUGCAAACACGAAAGUGGACGUAUAGGGUGUGACGCCUCCCCGGUGCCGGAAGGUUAAUUGAUGGGGUUAGCUAACGCGAAGCUCUUGAUCGAAGCCCCGGUAAACGGCGGCCGUAACUAUAACGGUCCUAAGGUAGCGAAAUUCCUUGUCGGGUAAGUUCCGACCUGCACGAAUGGCGUAACGAUGGCGGCGCUGUCUCCACCCGAGACUCAGUGAAAUUGAAAUCGCUGUGAAGAUGCAGUGUAUCCGCGGCUAGACGGAAAGACCCCGUGAACCUUUACUAUAGCUUUGCACUGGACUUUGAAUUUGCUUGUGUAGGAUAGGUGGGAGGCUUUGAAGCGUGGACGCCAGUUCGCGUGGAGCCAUCCUUGAAAUACCACCCUGGCAACUUUGAGGUUCUAACUCAGGUCCGUUAUCCGGAUCGAGGACAGUGUAUGGUGGGUAGUUUGACUGGGGCGGUCUCCUCCUAAAGAGUAACGGAGGAGUACGAAGGUGCGCUCAGACCGGUCGGAAAUCGGUCGUAGAGUAUAAAGGCAAAAGCGCGCUUGACUGCGAGACAGACACGUCGAGCAGGUACGAAAGUAGGUCUUAGUGAUCCGGUGGUUCUGUAUGGAAGGGCCAUCGCUCAACGGAUAAAAGGUACUCCGGGGAUAACAGGCUGAUACCGCCCAAGAGUUCAUAUCGACGGCGGUGUUUGGCACCUCGAUGUCGGCUCAUCACAUCCUGGGGCUGAAGCCGGUCCCAAGGGUAUGGCUGUUCGCCAUUUAAAGUGGUACGCGAGCUGGGUUUAGAACGUCGUGAGACAGUUCGGUCCCUAUCUGCCGUGGACGUUUGAGAUUUGAGAGGGGCUGCUCCUAGUACGAGAGGACCGGAGUGGACGAACCUCUGGUGUUCCGGUUGUCACGCCAGUGGCAUUGCCGGGUAGCUAUGUUCGGAAUAGAUAACCGCUGAAAGCAUCUAAGCGGGAAACUAGCCUCAAGAUGAGAUCUCACUGGGACCUUGAGUCCCCUGAAGGGCCGUCGAAGACUACGACGUUGAUAGGUUGGGUGUGUAAGCGCUGUGAGGCGUUGAGCUAACCAAUACUAAUUGCCCGUGAGGCUUGACC